GAAAGCGGUUGCACACAGCGCAUCAAAGAAAUUCACUAGCUUACCGCAUACAUCUGCACAAGAAAAAGCCGCUACGGGGACCGUCUGGAUAGUGAGGCAUCAAAGAGUCACCCCGACUGCGGCGCCUUCCUGUGAAAGUGUCGUGUGCAUGCCGGGAUGUGACAAUUUCAGCCGCCCUAUCGCUUCUGCAGCUGCUUGACAUUUUCUGAAGGACGAUCGAAGGAAUUCGCCUGACUCUUCCAAUAUCUCUGCACUAGCAGAGCUGACAAACCGCUGUUGAUCGUGGACUGUAGAAAAGGACUCGGUCGUAUUUUCCCGGGGUCGCCAGAGUUGACAAUUCUGAGCGAAAGAAGCCAAAAACGAGGGAUGUCGCUCUGUCCAUUUACUUCUGAAGAAGGACUCUUUGAAACAGUCAAAAGGAAAGUUUUUGAGUUCCGCGAAACCCCUGACGUGUGGAAAGCGAACAAACCACAAGAGGCGGAUAGUCGGAGUCCUGGGAAAUGGCUGAGCGGGAAGCGGCUUCACACGCUUCUCUCGGACAAAUCGAAUGAGACGAGAAGGGUGUUUCCAUAUUCACAUGCAUCUGUUUCUUCC
rnacentral:lncRNA from 1 species